UACGUAGGGUGCGAGCGUUGUCCGGAAUUAUUGGGCGGAAAGAGCUCGUAGGCGGUGUGUCACGUCGGCCGUGAAAACCUGCAGCUUAACUGUGGGCGUGCGGUCGAUACGGGCAUCACUGGAGUUCGGCAGGGGAGACUGGAAUUCCUGGUGUAGCGGUGAAAUGCGCAGAUAUCAGGAGGAACACCGGUGGCGAAGGCGGUUCUCUGGGCAUGUCCUGACGCUGAGGAGCGAAAGUGUGGGGAGCGAACAGG
rnacentral:rRNA from 1 species